UCCAUCCAUUUUGUUGCGAAACGAGAUGAUCACGGGACCAUCUUGCUUUAUUCAUAUUGAUCUCAUAUAUAAAUCACGGCACACAGAAGUAUAUAUAUGACAAAAGAAAGAAUGUCUACCAAGACCAACCGAUCAAAACCUAGCAAGACUCAUCAAACUACCACCGAUCUAAACCGUAUGUAUAGAAACCAGUCACCCAGGAGUAGUCGAGGACAAAACGCAACCAUCUCUACUGCAGGAGAGUCGCCGCGAGCAGUGACACAAGCGCGGAGGCCACCACGGCCACGGCGGAGACCGGGGCGAGACCGGCGGCCGCUCCGGCGUCUGGCGCGGGCGCGGGCGCCGACGAAGGCGCCAUGAUGCCCUGCGCCGAUGCGGAGGCGAAGAAAACGGAGGCCACGGCCAUGGCGACGAGCAGCACGGCGGCGCGGGGAGCCAUCACACCCUUCUUUCCUGGGCUGAGAAACGCUAGGGAGCUCUGUACGAGACCUGGCGGCGUCGAGGAGAUUGGUGUGGGAGGAGGAGGCGGCGUGGUGGAUGGAUGCUUAGGGAUGGAGGAUGGUGGGGGUUUAUAAUGGAGGCGGCGUGGCCCGUGGGUUUUGCGGUGCACGCAAACGCGUUUCGGUCGCGGGGCGUGGGAACGCGAGGUGGCCUGUGGGGUUGGGGGCCUUCCGCGUGACCGCCGUCUGUUGGGCUGGGGGGUGGGUUGGCAUGACGCGGUGCCGUUGGCCCGACUCCACCGACGGACGCGUCUUGGUGGAAGCUAAGAAUUAGGUUCGUGGCUAACCCGAACGCCAAAUGUGGUGCCUUGAGCUAGCCGGGCAGCACCGACUUCGGAUCGUGGCUAACGGAAUGCCAAAUGCGCCUUGUCCUCGUGCUUAGUUGCACCUUGCACGCCACCGGCUUUCUUUCUUUCUUAUUUUUCUUUUUUAACACAAUACAGACCGUAGCGUUCAUGUACUCACGUAUAUUACUCGUUCAUGAACGCACAUGUAUAUUCUAUCUUUACGAACAACUUUGAUAGACUGAGCUAACAUAUCAUCUUAAAAUUUACGAAGUCGUCGUAGACGCCUCGUCGUCGACGUAAACGCCUCUUUCAACUGAAUGCGCAUCUUCGAAAAUCUGAAAAUAAAUUUAAAAAUAAAUGCGAGCACCAGUAUUUGAAUCUUGAUGGACUGAGAUAUUACACUCCCUCUAACCAUCCAACUAGAGGUUAGCUUGCACUUCUCUUUUUUUCAACUCGUUUUCUGCAACAACAACAACAAUGACAACAAAAAAGUCCCAUGGUAAACAUCCAGAUAAUUCAAAGACGACGGCAACAGAUUGUAAAUAGAACAUGAAUAAUGUGAUGAUAAAUGCAACGAAUAAAUAAUUCUGCAACUAUAAUACAUGAGUAAAUAUAUUGUGGAAAAAAAUCUAAAGAACCGGUCUAGGACUGUUACAACACUCCUCAUUUACAAGUUAAUUUACUACCUUGAUCUCAUGGCUGGGCAAAUAGUUACCUCCAUACAUAGGUGGUGGGUCGAACCGUCGAAGUCUCAACCUGGCCCGACAUCCCCCGGGAGGACACUGCUUCUACUCUUCUUUUUGAUAUAGCUCAACAUUCAUGCCACGUGUGGUAUCACCGUCUAUAUUAUGUUGUUGUGGCAACGUGUCUCAUAUACCCUCCCUCAUCUUCUCCAAUAUUAAGAAUGAGGCGGCGCUUUGUGUUGAGGCCAGAGGGCAUGACAGUUAGAGCAUCUUCAAUAACAGCCCUACAAUAGGGCAUGAGCCGUUUCUAGGGCACGAGAGCAUCUAUAGCUGGACGACUCAAAAGACUCAUUAUAUGUCUACGGACGUGCCUCGUCAGUGGCCCGACAAAAAAUAGAAGAAAAAAAAGUAACCUAACUCGAUCCUUGAUAUUCAUCUCAUAUAUAAGUAGGAUAUAAGGGCUCGAGGUCGCGUCCGUGCGCAUCUAUCAGUCCGCUGCGUAGGACGCGGUCUCACCCCGAACCAUCUUUUCCUUUUCUUUAUUCAUUCAUUCUUUCUUUCUCUUCCUCUCCACCCAUCACAUGCAAGUGACCGGACAUAUGAGGAAGGAAAUGAGAAAUGUGGUUGUACGGACAGAAAAAUAGGAGACACGUCCGGUCACUGACCGGACGCGUCUGCGGACGUUUAGAAGGGUCAUAUUUGCUAUGUCCAGUUGUAAAUGCUGUGAGGGGACAAAAAAGACGUCCAACGGCUACCCAAUCCUAGUAUUUUGUAAAAAAAAAAAUUAAACAACCCUAGAAAAAGGCUUAUUGUGAGGCAAAUUUAGGGCAUUGUGGCUGAAAACCCUUGGAUCCAUCUAUCAGCCAACUAGUACAUGUCAUGGCUAGCGCCUUCGACCCUGCCGUCGAUCCUGAUAUGCUCACCACCAUUGCCGCCCUAUUUUAGGGCGGCUGUUGGAACGGUUGUGCCCUAUUCCGUGUACAAAAAGGCAUAAAAAUGUCUUUUGGACAUGUAAUAGGGCUGCUAUUUAAGAUGGCACUUUCUCGUGUCCAAAACUUUUUAUUUUCAAGGAUACGUCAAGAUAGACGUAUCGGGAUCAUAGAAAGAAGAAGCCAAGAAGGCAGAUUAUGGUACAACUCAUCCACGGCUCAAAGAGCCACAUACCUCAUGCGGACUACUCGCUAUCCUCUACCGUUCCUGCCCUAAUUGGCAAAGAUCUAGGAUCUCGCAACAGUUUUGCCGCCCUCCAAUCUUGGGCCUCAAUGUCGAUUUGCCUCUGCAUCGUUGCCGCGUCCGGGGAAGCUCCGUUGAAGACAAUCUUGUUUCUGUGGCGCCACAAGGUCCAAACAACCAGAGAGAUUACCGUCCAAAUCUCCUUGCUGAUUCUAUGGAAAGUAAUGGAGAGGUCGGCCAACUAGCCAGCUGCGAGUCCUGGUUCGGCAACCAAUUGGGCUUGCCCUAAUUCCUGACUAUGUCUUUCCAUACCUGUCUGGCGAGCCCGUAACCGAGGGUGAUGUGAUCAAUAGUUUCCGCAGCCUUGUGACAGAAGGGGCACACCACUAGACGCGGUAGUUGGCGACACUCAAGUCUAUCAACCACUUCACCCAUUUUCCAUGCCUUAUUAUACGGAUGUUGGAGAUGCUCUUAGGGGUUGAAGUAAGUGAGAGUGAUCCCUUGUACAGGUUGUGGCCUCCUAUUUUUGCAAUGGAAUUACAGAAAAGAUGUACAAAUUAAUCUCAGUUUCGUAACAAACUUCUUGUACUUGAUCGGCUGGGGCUGAUUUUGUUGCAGCCGAAAGGGUCGGGCCACCGUCGGAUCCGAUCCGACGGCCCCGAUUGCCCCGAUCGAAACCCUAGCAGGCGGCUGGGCCAUGAGGCGGACUGGGCCGGCUGGGCCUGCAAGGGAGCAGGCUCCGGUACUGGGUCACCGGGCAGUUUUCGGCCCAGAGAGCUUCAGACAUUAAAAGUUUUUAAUACAGUUUUUUCUAUGCAUUUUUCUCCAACAAAAAUGUGCUUAGAAAAUAGAAAAGAAAAAGGAGUGUCUCUGCAAAAUAAAAUAUAAAUUUUUCUGCAAAGAAAAAUAAAAGUUUCUGAAAAUAAAAUAGAGAUUUUUUGAGAAAAAGAAAAGUUCAUGGAUUUUAUAAAAGGAUAAUAAAGUUCAUGAAUUUUUAUUUUUAACAGAAUAUUUUUUUCUGUAAAGUAGAAAAAGUACAUGAAUUUUAUAUUCACGUUUUCCACUGCAAAGUAAUUUAAUAGUGCUAUUUUACGAAGUAAAUAAAAAUUUAGAGAGAAUAACAUUUAAGAGCAUAUUAAAGUGAUUAUUAAAAUAAAUAUGGUUAUGUUAUUUUUCUGACCAGCAUUGUUAAUAACAUGAUCAUGUUGCACUAUUGGCAUUAAGAUGCAUUUAUUUCUAUUAUUUGCCCAACGGUAAUAUAGAUUUAUUUGCAUAGAGAAUUGUAUGUUUAAUUUGACCAACGUUAGAUUAAUGCAUAUGAUUGUUAUACUGAUCUCUCUUAAAUUGUGAUUUCAUGAGGCUUCCACCUGAUGAGUUGCCUAAAAGAUGUUCCGACACUCAAAGGUGAUAAGUACUUUGAGUGGAGGAAGAAAGUAGAAAUGGCUUUUGUCUCUGCUGAGGUGGACUGGCUUCUGGAGGAACCACAACCCGUUAAACAUCCACAGCCAGUGAGAGAUGCAAAAGACACUAAUGUUGUAUGGGAGAAAAAGCAAAGGGAUUAUGCUCCAGUGGAGAUGUCCUACUCCCUUAACAACCAAAAGUGGAUAAAUGCCAACAAAAAGUGUCUGGCAUUUAUAAAUAAUACAAUUGAGAACGCCAUUGUGGGCUUAAUUACAGAGUGCACUUCCGUAGGGGAGAUGCUCACAAAGAUAAAGAGCCAGUUCACUGGCUCUUCAAAGACAUAUGCCAUCCAGUUGAUAAAACAACUGGUUACAGAGAACUACACUGGAGGUGGCCAUGGCAUUAGAGAGCACAUCCUUCAGAUGAGCAACAAGGCAGCAAAGCUCAAGCCAAUGGACGCGGAUCUGGAAAUCAAACCAGCACUCCUCAUCCACUUGGUCAUGGCUUCACUGCCAAAGGAGUUCGAAACUUUUGUUGUGAACUAUAACAUGUCCCCUGAAACAUGGAACAUUGAAAAUACAAUAGCAAUGUGUGUCCAAGAAGAGGACAAACUGAAAGCCUCACAUGGUGGUUCAAUCAACUAUGCGAAGGACAAUAAGAAAAAUAAUUUCAGUCAAAACAGCAAAGGUUCUCCUUCAAAGCCACAUGGUAAAGGCCCCUCACAUUUUCAGCAUCAGCAAAAGCCUCUUCUAGUGGACAGGGACACUUGUCUCCACUUCAAGAAGACAGGGCACUACAAAAAGGAUUGCCCUGACUAGCUAAAGACCAUCAUGGCAAAGAGAGGUAACGACAUCGUUUCCUUUGUUAAUGAAUCCAUGUAUUCACAGUUUUCGAAAUCUACUUCGUGGAUUGACUCGGGUGCAACUGUUCAUGUUGCAAACUCUUCACAAGGAUUCCGUUCGACGAGGAUUUUGCAAAGAAGAGAAAGAAGUAUUGAAGUCGCAAAUGGCGUCCAAGCAGAAGUUGAAGCUGUCGGCGACAUCUCCUUGGAGUUGGCUGAAGGAUUCAACCUUUUGCUUAGAAACGUCCUAUUUGUCCCUUCAUGUAAUAGAAAUUUAAUAAAGGUUUCUUGCUUAGAUAAAGACAAUUACGAGUAUUAUUUUGGACAUGGCAAGUGUGCCAUAUGGUACAAUAAUGCUUAUGUUGGUGUUGCCUUACUUCACAACGAGCUUUACUUGUUAUCACUUCGUGAAAAAGUGCAUUACGUGUGUAAUAUGAAUGAGCAAAAUUCCUCGUCGAACAAAGAACAAAAGAAAAGAAAGAGAACUCACGACUCAUCGAAGUUAUGGCACUGUCGUUGGGGCCAUAUUUCGAAAGGGGGGAUAGAAAGACUAAUUAAAAGCGAGAUACUUCCUCCACUUGAGUUCUUAGAUUUAAAACAAUGCAUUCAUUGCGUUAAAGGAAAGUAUGUAAAACAAAUUAAAAAGGGUGCAAACCGAAGCACUGGAACACUAGAAAUCAUCCACACUGACAUUUGAGGACCAUUUCCUGUGGAAAGCGUGGAUGCCUAUGACUCGUUCAUAACAUUCACAGAUGACUACUCCCGUUUCGGUUUUUAUUUAUCCAAUCAAAGAAAGAAAUGAAGCAUUGGGUAAAUUCAAAUUUUUCAGAGCUGAAGUUGAAAAUCAGCUUGACAAAAGAAUAAAGGUAGUGAGAUCUGACCGUGGGGGGAGUACUACGGUCGACAAACUCCAUAUGGCCAAGUCCUUGGACCUUUUGCAAAGUUCUUGCAGGCGACUGGCAUAGUAGCCUAGUAUUCAAUGUCGGGCGAGCCUCAGCAAAAUGGAGUAGCUGAAAGGCGUAACCGUACCCUUAUGGAUAUGGUGCGCAUCAUGAUCAGUUACUCCAACCUGCCAUUGGGAUUAUGGAUGGAGGCGCUUAAAACCGUCAUUCACAUUCUCAAUAGAGGACCAAGCAAGUCGGUGCCCAAAACACCGUACGAGUCGUGGACAGGAAAGGUACCAUCCUUGCAACACUUCAAAGUGUGGGGAUGCCCAGGUGAGGCCAAGAUGUUUAAUCCAAAUAUUGCAAAAUUAGAUCCCAAAACAGUGAGUUGCUACUUCAUUGUCUAUCCUGAUAGAUCAAAAGGUUUUCGUUUCUACUCUCCAGAAAAAUACACAAAGUUUGUAGAAACGAUACAUGCGGUAUUCUUAGAGGACGAAAUGAUGAGGGGGGGUCUGGUAGCUCGGAAAAUUGACCUUGAGGAGAAGAGGGUGCAUGCACCUAAUCCGAUGAUUCAAGAGCCAUUUUUCACACUACCUGUUGUAACUCCAACCAUGACAACUAUGGGAGAAGAUCCGGAACAUGUCCUUCAGGAUCCGACUGAACCUGUUGUUAAGCAUGAAAGGGAGGUACAACAGCCAAUUUUAGAGGAUGUGCCAGAGAACGAGGCACUUAGAAGGUCUAACAGAACAAGAAGGUCAACUAUUUCUGCUGAUUAUAAAGUUUGUAACACAUAAUUGGUUCAUAUGGAAGGUGGUCCCACUUCAUAUGAAGAAGCGAUGAGAAUCCCUCACUCAUCGAAGUGACUGGAGGCAAUGGAAGAUGAGAUGAAAUCGAUGAGUUCCAACGAUGUUUGGGACUUAGAAACUAUUACUAAAGGUGCCAAAACAGUAGAUUGUAAAUGGGUCUACAAAACAAAGUAGGACUCUAAUGGGAAUAUAGAAAAGUAUAAAGCACGACUCGUCGCAAAAAGAUUUACACAAAGAGAAGGGAUAGAGUACAAUGAGACUUUUUCCCUAGUCUCAUGUAAGGAUUCCUUCAAAAUCAUAAUGGCAUUAGUUGCACAUUUUGAUUUAGAGUUGCAUCAAAUGGAUGUAAAGACGACAUUUCUAAACGGAGAUUUAGAAGAAAAUGUCUACAUGAAAAAAUUCAAGGGUUUUAUCAUGGAAGGCAAGGAAGAUAUGGGAUGCCGCCUAAAGAAAUCCAUUUAUGGACUAAGGCAAGCCUCUAGACAGUGGUAUCUAAAGUUCAGCGAUACUAUUAAAAGAUUUGGAUUUAAAGAAAAUGUUGAGGAUAAUUGCGUUUAUGCAGAGUUCAAAAAUGGGAAAUAUAUUUUCUUAAUCUUGUAUGUGGAUGACAUCUUGCUUGGAACCAAUGGUGUUAGUCUACUACAAGAAACAAAGAAGUUUUUAUCCUCAAAUUUUGAUAUGAGAGACCUUGGUGAUGCUUCAUAUGUUUUGGGCAUUGAAAUUCACCGAGAUAGGAAAAAUAGAGUCUUAGGACUACCGCAGAAAGCAUAUUUAGAGAAGGUUCUCAAAAGUACAAUAUGCAUGCGAGCAAGGCCACACCUGCUUUUAUAGUCAAGGGCGACAGUUUUGGGAAAUUCCAAUGUCCCAAGAACCAGUACGAGCUCGAUGAGAUGAAAGCAGUAUCAUAUACUUCGGCUAUUGGAAGUUUACAGUAUGCACAACUGUGCACCCCCUGACUUAGCUUUUAUCACCGGGGUACUCGGUAGAUAUCAAGAGAAUCCAGACCUAGAGCAUUGGAAGAUGAUAAACAAAGCAUUACACUAUGUGCGAAGGCACAAACGAUAUCAUGCUAACAUACAAAAGAUUUGAUUCCCUAGAGAUAAAAGGGUAUUCAGACGCAGAUUUUGCGGGAGAUAGAAAUGAUAGAAAAUCCACGUCAGGAUACGUGUUCACUUUUGCUGAAGGGGCUAUUUCGUGGAAAAGCUCCAAACAAACCGUAGUUGCAUCGUCCACGAUGUAAGCAUAGUUUAUAGCAUGUUUUCAAGCCACUGGGAGGUGAUAUGGUUAAAGAAAUUUAUACCUGACUUGAAAGUGGUAGAUUGUAUUUACAAGCCACUAAAGAUGUACUGCGACAACCAACCCGCAUUAUUAUGCUCACAACAACAAGUUGAGUAAUGCUACCAAGACAAUAGAUAUAAAGUAUUAUGUUAUGAAAGACAAAAUACAGGAUCACACUAUAAGUCUCGAGCAUAUAAGGACAACGGAUAUGCUCGCAGAUCCGCUAACGAAAGGCUUACCACCCAAUGUGUUCAAAGAACACUUAGCCGGCAUGGGGUUAAUGGAAAGCCUAUGAUUCCUGGAUCAUAAGAGGCCCCAAAAGGAACAUAAUUUGUUUCUAAACAAAAGUAUGUUGUAGCUGUAUGAUUCUAUCGACAAUUAUGCUGUGACGAUGAGACAUGCUCUAUGUGUCAAUAUAUGAUGGAACAAAUAAACUAGAAAGUAUAAGGUUAAAGUAAAAGUUGAGAUCAAGAGGAAGAAUUAAUGUUAGGUUGAUCUCUUAGCAUGGGCCCAACGGCCCACCGUACCCUUGAUCCAUAUGCGCCCUGACCGGGGGCGCCCAACCCAUUAUGGUUGGUGGCCCCUGUGACCCGCACUAUCACUACAAGAGAACAGAGCUUUGGUAACACAUAGUAAAAUAUGUUACAAUCGAAAAUCCAGUAACACAUGAUUUGUGUUGCAAAGUCAGACUGUAACACAUACAAUAUAAGCUCAAAAAUGUGUUACGACAAUAUCGUCUAAGUAACACGUAAUUAUGUGUUGCACGUAAUGUGUUACACAGAUGUUGCUACAGUAACAUAUUAAUAUAUGUUAGUGGGAGUGUGUUACAAUAAGAUUGUAGAGAAAGUAACACAUAAUCAUGUGUUGAUCCAUGGUUUGGUUUUGAUAAAUAUCGAACUAUUUCGAGAUGGUUUUUGUAAAUACCAUAUUAGCCAAAUAAGGCGCUAAUUUUAGGAUGACUCAACGACCAUACAUGCACACCUUAAAUUGAUCAUAUAGAAUUAAGUAAUUGACGUCAAUGCAUGUACUCAUGAAGAUUAUAGUAUUUCAACUAAAAGCAUCAAUGAAGCACUAAAAGCGACUCAAAUGGGGCGACCCAUUUCGUCCGUCGCUGUCCGUUUGGGUCGGCACGGAUAAAAAACUUUGCCCAACUAGGCGACCCAAACGGACAACAAGUCCGUCUGGUGUCCAUUCCCGACCCAGACUGAACCAAAAUAUGGGUCACAAAUGGGUCUGCAGCGGAUAAAAGCGGGCGCUCCCGUCGUCUCCUCCCGUCCGCUCGUGUCCGCCCUGGUCCCACCCAUUAGUGACUGGGCACUCGUCCUCCUCACCACCGCCGCCCCGCCGACCCUGUAGGUGGAGCCGGGUCUGGGGACGAGGGAGGUAGCGAUGGCCUCAGUCUCGGUCUCCGGGUCGGAGACGGUAAUGUAGGAGUACUCGAACGUGGCGGCGCGUGCGGAUCUCGGGGAGGCAGAGGCGAAGCGCAGGGAGGAGGCGACGACCCCGACAAAGGACGAAGGGUCGACGAAGGAGGAGGAGGCACGGGACCGGGGGAAGGCGGCGGGGGUGGGAGGGGAGGUGGCGAGGAGGAGGAGAGGGGGUGCUCGAAGGUGGAGGCCAUGUACUACUAUUUCGGAAGAAAAACAAGUGGAGGGAUUUUUUAAUGAUUCCCGCUAAUCUUUACUUUACCCUCCAAUACAAAAAGUAGACCCUUCUGAUUAAACAACGGUAAAUAAUUCCCCGUGAUUAUCUCAUCUGCACAAACAAGAAAAAAGAAAUACUCAUCUACCCACCACCGCGCCGCCGCCCCACUGCUGCGCCGGCCCCUACCACCAAGCCGCCACCGGCGUACACCGACCACCGCGCCGCCGCCCCCAACCGCGUCGCCCCACCACUACGCCCCCGCACCAAGCCGCCACCAGCGUACUCCGUCCACCGUGCCGUCGCCCCCGACCGCGUCGCCCCACCACCAAGACGCCACAGGCGUACUCCGACGACCGCGUCGCCCCACCACUACGCCGGGCACCACCACCAAGCCGGCACCGGCGUACUCCAACCAACGUGCCGCCCUCCACCUCCUGUUGCCUCUCGAUUCUCCUACCGCUCGUCGUUGCUCCAGGAUGCCGUGCCCCAUCGCCAGAUCCUGCGCUGCUCGCCGCCUCCCGCCAACCAGCAGCUCCCGGCAUUGCCUCUACCCUGGUGGGAUCUCGCCAUCGGCCAUGCCCUAGAUCCUGUUUCCCUGAUGAUAGAUUUAUGCCCCCUACAUGCCUCCCCUCACCAUUAGCCAAAAUCUAGAUGUAUAUUUGAUCCUUUGCCGGUCCUUGUUCCCAUUGUGAGGUUUGAUUUUGUUGUCCGAUUUUUCAGAAUUUGAUUUGGUUCGUUGAUCUCAUUCCCUAGGUUUGCAUUUGCCACCUUAAUUUCUUUUCACACAGUUUAAUAAGACCUUCACAUGAGUUAAUUUUUCAGGAGGAGGCUAGCAUCCAGCAGCAUAUGGUGCCGCAAAAUCAACGUGUAGGUCAUCCAGCUAAUCAGAUAUGUGUGCUACAGUAUCCUUGGUCGUUCUUAUUUUCAUCCUCUGUUGCGAACCUGCGCUUGUUAAUCUCUUGAUUUUGUUAUUAAGUUGUGAUAGAAUUUUUUGAAGCAUUAAUAAUUGUGAUAAAUUAGUGUACAGUUUACCGAUCCAAUCAAGAUGACUGAGAAAUCCAAUGUCGUUGUUCUAAAUAAAAUCGACCUGGAAUGCAUUUCCUUGGAUUUUGAGUCCUCCAAUGGAACUCCGUCGGGGUCUCAUCUGAAGGGAGGCAGGCCCUCGUUAAACGAAUCCACCUUUCCUGAAGCCUUUAUUUUUAAGUUUAUAUCUAGAUUGUAUUUGUAAUCAAGGGAUAACCUGUCUGUAGAGCUCUGGAAAUCUGUGAUGAAGUUGUUUGCUUAAGUGGACAACUCCAUUGCGGUCUUUUUCAGUGAGAAAUUGUUAUUUGCUAGGAGACUUGAUUAAAAAUUAGUUAAUAUAUGAUAGACCUAAAUACAUUCUUAGUCUAUAGUUAAUUAGUAUAACCAUCACACCGUCUGACUUGCUCAUAAAUAUAUUGCUUUAUUUUACUUUUGAUCCAUCCAUUAGUCCUAUGCUUCUCCACUAGUGCACUCACUUUUUAGGACUGCGUUUUGCCUAUCAUUCUAAUAAUUCCUCUGCUUACUGCAUCAGACAUCAUUCUAUAUUUAUCUGAAUCGUCUUACACCAAAGGUGUCUUGUGACUAUCUAUCUUAAUUUGUACUAUGUCUAUAUGGCUAUAUAUGGCGUCUAUGCCAGAUUUGACUUUUGUGGUCUCGGUGAUCCAAAACUCUUAGUUGAUUCAACCACUUUUGAUAUAUUUACAGGGUUGGAAAUUUUAAUGUAAGUAAGCAUAUUUUUUAGUAAGUGACUACAAGUAUGUGUAAUCAAUUUUCUAUCAGUUUUUUUGUACUUGCAUCACCUAUCAAGAGGGGCCAAAAGAUAUCUAUGUUCACCAAUAGUCCAUGGUCCUAGGGUGUUGUGAAGAAAUCAUUUACGAAGAAGAGUAGAAAAGCUUAUGCAACUUAUUUUUAGUAUGUAGCUUGUCUUUUAUCAUUAUAUAUUUGCAGAUGAGUUUUUCACAGCACGGUGCACAAGAUUGAUGAUUGAGUACUCAUGAUGGUUAUGAGCAUUUCCUAUACAAGGUAUAUUGCAGGUCAAACCUGUAGCUGUUAUUACUGAACUCUACUUGUGAUACUCAUCGUCGAUUUCACUUAUAUGCACAUACUUCUAGAUACUUGAAUUAAUUUUAGACUGCAUGUUAUUACCUUACUACUUGUUGUAGGAUAAAUAAUAAGGAGGAGGGCAUCAAGGUUAUAAUACGACCAUACUGUAUGACUCACGUCCCCAGCAGCAUGGGUAUGUCUUUUAUCUGCAGUUCUCCAAAAGUGCUAUUGUGAGCUCGAGCUCAUAUGCUCUCGGAUGAACAGUAAAAUCCGAAAAAAUAGUAAAACAACUAAAAAAAUCUAAAAUUUUGUGACAAGAAACAUUGAUGUUUUUCCUACAUGCAUGCAAAAAUUCAUAACGGAAUCACAUUCCUGGAGGCUUAGACAAAAAAAACAAAUUGAUUUUCCAAAAUGCUUCCAAAAACACUAUUUUUGAAUCAUUGAUUUUGUUUUUUUCCCAUGCCUCCACAAAUGUGAUUUCACCAUGAAAUUUUGCACACAUAUAGAAAAAACAUCAAUGUUUCAUGCCCACAAAUUUCAGAUUUUUUUUGAUUUUUUACUAUAUUUACUGAUUUUAUUGUUCAUGCGGGAGUAUAUGAGCUACUAUUUCCAAUGGUAAAAGUUAUGUUUUUCCAUUUCUUGAUUUACUUAUACAAUAUUUCGGUUGCAACGGUGAAGGUGGUUGUUUCUUUCCUUUGUUCUUUUCAGAACAUAAAGAUGAAGUAAUGGCAGAACUCCUCCGGUUGGAUCCUAUCCUCAUGCUCAUGAUGAAUUCAAGAAGCAUUUAGUCCAUUGAAGAUAGAAGCAACAAGUAUAGUUUAUGUCGAUGGAUGUAAAAAUGUAAUAUUUUCCAAAUUAGUGUUUCUUAACCAUUUGAAAUGUUAGGAAUACUACUCAAUGAUUUGAAGAUAUUUACAUUAAUUUUAAUGCAAUGUAAUUACGCUAUGAUCGGUACAAUCCUAAACUUUUGCAUAUUUGUAAUAAAUAUCUUGAAAUUUUCAAUUUGUGUAUGUGUUGUGCUUCAGUUUCUCUAUCAUUUUAAUAAUGACAAGAAUCAUAAUUAAACAAUUAAUUAUUUGAGCAAGUGUGGUAAUUUUAUUGAAUAAUUUUUUAUUCAAUAAAAUAUGUACCCAAUUUUGUGCUUAAUAAAAAUUAAAUAUAUUAAUUAUGUUGUGAUGCUAAUAUACUAGUGUUACUGAUGGAGUUACUAGAGUUACAAACUGUGUUACUAGGGCAUUGACAACUAUACCUUAUAGUGUUACAAUAUUUGGAUAUUAUGUUACUAGUUUAGUUUCGAAGCUAAAAAAUGUGUUACGAAUUGUGUUACUGUAGUUACAAAAAUAUGUUACCAUCAAUAUUCUAGGUCUAGAUAGGUAUGUUACUAUAGGUGUUACUGUAGCUACAAUAAAAUGUUACCGUACUGUUGACUAACACAUAAUAUGCAUGUUACUACAACAUAACAAUAACACAAUAUUUAAAAUGUGGUAACAAUUAUUAUGUGUGACAGUGCAUACCUGUUAGUAACACGGUCUAAUGGAACAUAUUUCAAAAUGUGUUACUACAUGCCGUAGUAACACAUUUUUGGGCAUGUAGUAACAUAACACGGUGUUACUAAAGCUCUGUCCUGUUGUAGUGUAUAUUAACAGAGGUGGGGGCCGGGGCACGGGAUACGAAGUUCGCCGCAACCACUUUUUCCACCUAUACGCCCUACCGAUCUAGGGUAAACGCGGUGCUCACGGAAAGCUCCACCGCCGCCACAUCCUUCUCUGUCAUCAUUGCCGUCACCACCUCACCGAUGAAGGCCGGCGGGACUUCCUCGAGUGCAGGACAAGGUAAAACCCUUUACUCCUAGCGGACUCAUCUAGCCUAGCAGAUCUAAGGAUCUAACAGUUCAUUGUUACAAGAUUAUUCAUCUACUGUAUACAUUGCGUAUAUCAACUUGAUGCAAGGAAGAAGAACUUAGAAACGAAUGAAUGCACAUGCAUGGAAAUUUGCACAUGACAUAGCUUAUUUUCUUGGUCAGACAAGGUGUCCAGUUCGAUCUCGACAUCUGGUGCACGUAGACGAAGCACACGUACAUGUAGCACGCACGCCAGUCUAACAGACCUUUCACUGCGGCGUAUGAGAAACGGUGGAAGUAUAUAUACAAAGAAAUGUUGACGGAUCCCCUAAAAAAAAUGUUGACGGACACAUGUUGGCGACUCAACCGCUAAACGUCUCACACGUGCAGCUUCAAUUGAUUUGUCAAGAGCUAGUGUUUGUUCAAAGCAUUCGCUGUCGAGCCGUGCUUCUCUGCCACCCGGAGCAUGGCACCAGAUUCCAGCGUGACCGAACAGAGAGAGAGAGGACAAAAUAUUGUAGUAACACGACUCACAUUCCACAGUGCUCUAUACCAACCAAUUAACGAUCCACACAUCUAGACUUGACCAUGCCUGCUCCGGCGAUAAACGAGACUAUUUUGAUUUGAUUGUUUGUUCGAAGUCUUCAUUCAAUCGUUCCCGGACAGCCAAUAGCGAAGCUCGUGUUUCUAGACUCUUAACACGAUCGUUGGUGUAUGUCACUGCGUCAUUUGCGGCCGGUUCACCGAUGGCGACCUGUACGCUUUGGACAAGACCGAAACGGACGUGGAAUUUGCCCUAUCCCAUCAGGCGCACGCACAGCGGCGCACUUGGCAACCGGUCCGGUAGGAUGCGCGCUCUACGGUGUCUUUGUGUCUCGAGAAUCAACUAAAGAGCAUCUACAGCCGGGUCUUGCAAAUUCACUCCCUUAAACGAAUACUGACCGGUCACAUAUAUCAAAUAAUGCAUUUUACAUCCGGAUACCUUAAAUUAAAACCUCAAAUCCAUACUAUUAUAUGCAACGUAAACCUAAUACAACGGAGCUCGCCCGGCUCCGUCGUAAUCAUGUCCGGCGGCUAGCUGCGCCCUUCAUAGUGUCGGUCCGGCUGCGGGCGAGGUAAAGUAGGACAUGUGACAGUAACCGGCUCGUUGGAGUCGAGCUCCCGCCGCCUCCCAUGCCCUACUCUUCCUCGUCGGAUCCCGUAACCCUGAUGGUUGCAGUCGACAUGAGGUUGAUGACGGAUCCUUCCUGGGAGGAGUCGAAGCCCACCACGACGCGGAUGUGUCGCCUGCACUGGUGCACCCUACGGGGCGUCGGAGAGUGUGACUCCACCUCUCCAACAUCCACCAUCACGAGGGCCUCUGCCGCAUCCCGUGCCCGUUGCCUCGCCCGGCAGGCACGCCGCGUCAUGACAUCAUCCGAGGACGGCCAUGCUUCAUGCUCGGCGCAUCAACGGAGGGGUUGCGCUUCCGCCACGGCGAUCGGACGUCACACGGACCGCACCAUAUCCCGCGAGGCAGCAACGCCAGGUCCAAGCAUCGGUUGUGCGGAUGCAAUGAAUUCCUGGCGUUGCGAGUCCGAGAGCUGCCGUCGUGCGGCCACCUCCGGGGAGGGGAGGAGCGCGAGUCGGACAUCCAUCUCCUCCUCGAGGCCACGUGGAACGAGCUCGUGGUCGAUGGAUCUGGAGGUGAAGGACUCUGAUCCGCUGCCCGCCAUGCCGGAGGUGAGCUUCGGUGGCGGAUGGGAGUGGAGUGAAAUGGCUAGGGUUUGAUCCUGCAAGCGGAUGGGGACAAAUAUAUGUGGGGUAGAUGCGGGCCAGUGUGGGCCAAACAGACGUGCCCGGGCACGCCCGGGCUCCCCAUAUCCACCCCACAUUUGGGCUGGAAAUGAAGGGUGCCGGUCAACGUGGGCGUAUGUGUAUGAUCGAAAGUAUAUCUAGAGCGGGGGNNNNNNNNNNNNNNNNNNNNNNNNNNNNNNNNNNNNNNNNNNNNNNNNNNNNNNNNNNNNNNNNNNNNNNNNNNNNNNNNNNNNNNNNNNNNNNNNNNNNNNNNNNNNNNNNNNNNNNNNNNNNNNNNNNNNNNNNNNNNNNNNNNNNNNNNNNNNNNNNNNNNNNNNNNNNNNNNNNNNNNNNNNNNNNNNNNNNNNNNNNNNNNNNNNNNNNNNNNNNNNNNNNNNNNNNNNNNNNNNNNNNNNNUACACCCUACACAUGCACAUUUAAGAGUAUAGGAGCGGAAAGUAAAACAUGCAAGUAUAAAGUAGAGGGUAAGGUAGGGAGAUCAAACGCAAAGGUUGACACGACGAUUUUUGGCAUGGUUCCGAUAGGUGAUGCUAUCGUACGUCCAUGUUANAAGCAACUUGGGGAGGCCAGAAAUCAAGGUUCAAAUGGUUGGAAUGGAAUCUAUUGAUCUCAACACAUGAGUGGGUGCCUCUUUCUUAGAAAAAUGGAUCUGGCAAGUGUAACUGUGUUCUGAGUGCUUCCUCUACAAAUUAGAGGCGAUGGAGGGGUAUAUAUAGGCAUCCCCCAAAAUCCAACCGUUACAACAUUGUUGCCCAACUCGGUGACACCAAAAAGAAUCUCAGUGGUACCGAGUUGCACUACAUGUCCCAACUUUUGAAUUCUUGAUGAGACCGAUAUAUGAAUCUCGAUGGUACCGAUACGAUGACCUAGACCAGUUUCCAAAUCUCGGUGAGACCGUUUUUGAACUCGGAAAUUCUGAUUCUUGAAAUCUUCUCAAUAGAAAGUUGGUCACUGAAUCUCGGUGGCACCGAUAGGAAUGUUGGUGGUACCGAGAUGGUAGGGUUUGGCAUAGGAUCUGUCAAGUGUAAAAUCGAUAGGGCCGAGUGGAAAUUGUUGUUGGCACCGAUUUUGCUGGUUUGGCUUUGGACAGAGAUAUUUUGUGGGAGAAUAACUAAGUAUUUUUUGGUGGCUACCUCUAAGCACUUGAGCAACCAAUUCAUCAUAAUACCUCAUCCCCUUUUAAUAGUAUUUUGUGCGAGCAACCAUUUCAUCAUAAUGCCUCCCCAAGUUGCUUNNNNNNNNNNNNNNNNNNNNNNNNNNNNNNNNNNNNNNNNNNNNNNNNNNNNNNNNNNNNNNNNNNNNNNNNNNNNNNNNNNNNNNNNNNNNNNNNNNNNNNNNNNNNNNNNNNNNNNNNNNNNNNNNNNNNNNNNNNNNNNNNNNNNNNNNNNNNNNNNNNNNNNNNNNNNNNNNUGAGAGAGUGAUUGAGUGCUGAGGAGACUAUGUUUUGAAGCACAAGAGCAAGGAUUUCAUCAUCCAUACCACAUCUAUUACCUUUUGGGGAGUGGUGUCUCCUAGGUUUGUUAGGUGUCACUUGGGAGCCUCCAAAUCGUGUGGAGUUGAACAAAGAAGUUUGUAAGGGCAAGGAGAUCAUCUACUUCGUGAAGAUUCACCCUGAGUGAGGCUAGUCCUUCGUGGUCGUAAGCCAUCGUGGAAUAUACAAGGUUUGUUCUACAUGGACCCUUCGUGGGUGACCUCCAUGGACUCGUGUAGCCAUUAUCCUCCAUGGGUUGAUGUCUCCAUCAACGUGGACGUACAAUAGCACCACCUAUCGAAACCACGCCAAAAAUCUCCAUGUCAUCUUUCCGUUUGAUCUUCCUAUUUCUACUCCUUACUUACAUGUGCAUGUCUUUACUUUCCACUGCUAUAUAUACUUGUUGACUUGCAUGUGUAGGGUGUACUAGACUUUUCAGAAUUGCAAAGACUUGUCAACCAAUAAAACUGGGAAAAGGUUAGGUUUUUAUUUUUCCAAGUAGUCCAUUUGCCCGCCCUUUAGACGUCCCUUCUCAAUCCAACAAUUGGUAUCAGAGCUUGGGUAUCCAUAGCUUUGGUUUCAUCUCCUUUGGAGGAAGAUGGAUGUGCGUAUUUUGGGGAAUCAUAGUUGUAGAGUGCAUAUUCUCAUUGAGGAGUACUAUAGUCAAUGUAAAAACAAAAUGCUUGAUCUAUUUGAUGAAUUGCAUUUGAGCAAGUAUGUUGAUAGUCCCUAUGUGCCUCCCAUUGACCCCUUACAUCGUUCACACGAGGAUGAAAUUUAUAUGCUUCAUAACCUUAGAACCAUCAAUCUUAUCAUUAGAGGACUGCGAAAGGAUCAUGUGUGAUCAAAUGAAUAACUUUGAGUGUGAUUAUACUUUGUGGAAAGAUUUGGAGAAAAGACAUCCAAAUUACCCUUUGAAUUUAUUUGAUGUCAUUCUCCAUAAAACUAUUGCUUUCCACCAAUUGAAGCCUAGGGAUUCUAACUUCGAUAAAUACUUGUUUGAGCUUCGUGAUCUCAAGUGCGUUAAACGAGAUGUCAUAACCAUCAAUAACAUUAUUGUUGAAGCUAUUCGUAUUCAUAAUCUUGAACAUUGCCAUGAUCAAAAUUGUAACGACUCUCUUGAUUUUUGUGAUGAGUAUAUUUCAUUUGAUGAUGAUAAUGUGGAACAUGGCUACUAUGAUGAAGAUGAGAAAUUUUACAUUGCAUGUGAGAAGCCUAUGAAGAAUCUAAGUCUUAUGGCAAACUUCAAAGAAUACAUGUCUGGAGGAAAAGAGUGGAUUCUUGAUAGUGGACGCACCGAUCACAUGACCGGAUAUAGAGACAUAUUUUACGAUAUCACACCAAACAAUGGACCAUGCAGGUAUAUGACCUUCGGAGACAACUCCAAGGGUAAGGUACUUGGUCUUGGUAACGUGUCCAUAUCUCAUGAUAUUUCUAUUCAAAAUAUCAUGCUUGUUGAAUCCCUUGUCUACAAUCUUCUUUCCGUAUCUAGACUAGCCGAUUUUAGUUUCAAUGUGAUAUUCAUUAAAUUAGAUUGCCAAGUGUUUCGUCAAGACAAUCAUAAGAUGGUUUACCGGUUUCUGUAGAGGUGAUAUAUACAUUAUCAAUUUCACUAAGAGUGUCCAACCUUGUACUUGUCUUAUUACAAAAUAUUCUAAAGGUUGGCUAUGGCACAGAAGGCUAGGACAUGUUGGUAUGCAUAAUCUAGACAAGCUUAUCAAAGCUGAUCGUAUACUUGGUGUUAAAUAGGUUAUCUUUGAAAAAUAUAGACUCUGUAGUGCUUAUCAAGCAGGAAAACAACUGGGUGGAAGUCACUCGGUAAAGAACAUCAUGACUACUAGGACACCACUCGUGUUGCUUCACAUGGAUCUCUUUGGUCCCAAUGCUUACAAGAGCCUUAGUGGAAAUUCCUUUGGUCUAGUUAUAGUUGAUAAUUUUUCCAGAUUUAUGUGGGUAUUCUUUCUUGAUGACAAGUUGCAGAUACAAAAGAUCUUCAUGAACUUCGUUCACAAAUGUUGGGGAACGUAGUAAUUUCAAAAAAAUUCCUACGUCAUGCAAGGAUCUAUCUAUGGAGAAACCAGCAAUGAGAAAAGGGGUACACCAUCUCCAUAACUUUGAAGAUCGCUAAGCGGAAGCCUUGCUAGAACAUGGUUGAUGGAGUCGCACUCGCAGCGGUUCGGAUCACGGUGGAUUCCGAUCUAUGCACUGAACGUCGGCGCCUCCGCGUUCAACACACGUGCAGCCCGGUGAAGUCUCCAACACCUUGAUCCAGCAAGGAGGGAGGAGAGGUUGAGGCAGAGCUCCGACAGCACGACGACAUGGUGACGAUGGAGCUAUGUGGUACUCCGACAGGGCUUCGCUAGGCACUAUGGAGGAGGAGGAGGAGGAAGGGGUGUAGGGCUGCGCUGAGAGAGAGGCAAUUAUUGUCUCAAAUCUGCCCAAAACCACCACUAUAUAUAGGAGGAGAGGGAGGAGGUUCCCACCCUAAAGGGUGCAGAAGCCCUAGAGUCCAAGGAGGGCGGCGGUCAAGGGUGGAGGGCCCUAGGGUGGGCCUUUGAGGCCCAAGGUGGCCUCCCAUGCCUAGGGUUUCCCCUCUCUCCACCCCUUGUGUGCCUUCGGCUGGUUGUGGAGGCGCACCAGCCCAUAUAUGGGCUGGUUCCCACCCACACUUAGCCCAUGUAGCAACUUGGGGCUCGUGGCCAUUUCCGGUGGACCCCCGGAACCCUUCCGGUGGUCCCUGUACAUUGUAGGUGUUGCGCGAAACAUUUUAUGUGACCAAAUCCUCACUUCGUAUAUCAAUCUUUACCUCUGGACCAUUCCGGAACUCCUCGUGGCGUUUGGGAUCUCAUUCGGGACUCCAAACAACCUUCGGUAACCACAUACACUAUUUCCCUAUAACCCUAGCGUCAUCGAACCUUAAGUGUGUAGACCCUACAGGUUUGGGACACAUGCAGACAUGACUGAGACACCUCUCCGAUCAAUAACCAACAACGGGGUUUGGAUAUCCAUGUUGGUUCCCACAUGUUCCACGAUGAUCUCAUCGGAUGAACCACGAUGUCGGGGAUUCAAUCAAUCCCGUAUGCAAUUCCCUUUGUCUACGGGUAUGAUACUCUCCCGAGAUUCGAUCGUCGAUAUCCCUAUACCUUGUUCGAUCUCAUUUCCGGCAAGUCUCUUUACUCGUUCCGUAACACAUCAUCCCAUGACUAACUCCUUAGUCACACUGAGCUCAAUAUGAUGAUGGAUUACCGAGUGGGCCCACAGAUACCUCUCCGUCACGCGGAGACAAACCCCAGUCUCGAUUUUUACAACCCAACAGACACUUAAGGAGAUACCUUUAGUGCAUCUUUAUAGUCACCCAGUUACGUUGUGACAUUUCAUACACCCAAAGCACUCCUACGACAUCUGGGAGUUGCACAAUCUCAUGGUCUAAGGAAAUGAUACUUGACAUUAGAAAAACUUUAGCAGACGAACAACACGAUCUAGUGCUAUGCUUAGGAUUGGGUCUUGUCCAUCACAUCAUUCCCGAAUGAUGUGAUCCCGUUAUCAAUGACAUCCAAUGUCCACGAUCAGGAAACCAUGAUCAUCUAUUGAUCAGCGAGCUAGCCAACUAGAGGCUCACUAGGGACACAUUAUGAUCUAUGUACUCACACAUGUAUUACAGUAUCCAGUUAAUGCAAUUAUAACAUGAAUAAUAACAAUUAUCAUGAACCAGGAAAUAUAAUAAUAACCACUUUAUUAUUGCCUCUAGGGCAUAUUUCUAACAAUCUCCCACUUGCAGUAGAGUCAAUAAUCUAGUUACAUUGUGAUGAAUCGAACACCCAUAGAGUUCUGGUGCUGAUCAUGUUUCGCUCGUGGAAGAUGUUUAGUCAACGGGUCUGCGACAUUCAGAUCCAUGUAUACUCUACAAAUAUCUAUAUCUCCAUCCUAAAUGUAUCCACGAAUGGAUUUGAAGCGGCGCUUGAUGUGCUUGGUCAUCUUGUGAAAUCUGGGCUCCUUUGCAAUGGCAAUAGCUCCAGUGUUGUCAUAGAACAGAGUCUUCGGGCCCGACACACUUGGAAUCACUCCUAGGUCGGUGAUGAACUCCUUCAUCGAGACUCCUUCCUGUGCUGCUUCGAAAGCAGCUAUGUACUACGCUUCACAUGUGGAUGUCGCCACGAUGCUUUGCUUGCAACUGCACUAGCUAACUGCCCCAUUAUUCAAAAUGUACACGUAUCCGGUUUCUGACCUGGAGUCAUCGAGAUCUAUGUUGAAGCUAGCAUCGAUGUAACCCUUUACGACGAGCUCUUCGGCACCUCCAUAAACGAGAAACAUACCUUUAGUCCUUUUCAGGUACUUAAGGAUGUUCUUGAC
rnacentral:lncRNA from 1 species